rnacentral:rRNA from 1 species
GACGAACGCUGGCGGCGUGCCUCAUACAUGCAAGUCGAACGCGAAAGUCCCCCGCAAGGGGGGCGUAGUAGAGUGGCGAACGGGUGAGUAACGCGUUGGUGACCUGCCCCGAAGAGGGGGAUAACAGUCCGAAAGGAUUGCUAAUACCCCAUGUGGUUAUCGGGAUCAGAAUCUGAUAACUAAAGUCGUAAGACACUUUGGGAGGGACCUGCGUCCCAUCAGCUAGUUGGUAAGGUAACGCCUACCAAGGCUAUGACGGGUAGGGGACCUGAGAGGGUGGACCCCCACAAUGGCACUGAAACACGGGCCAUACACCUACGGGAGGCAG